UUGUGUCAUCAUGAUGGGCUUGGGAGCCAUCCAGGAGAUUGGGUGUUUCUGACUGGGUAAUGGAUUUGUGAUCUUGGGUACUGUAUAUGGUCCCUAGUUCCUUCCUCUUUGACACUGUUCCCCUGCUGUGCUUCCCAGUUGCUGUGGACUAUACAUCUUUGCUCCACCAUUCCCUUCUGCUGUGGUAUUCCUGCCUAAGAGACUGCAAGCCAUAGACUGAAUUCCCUGAAACUAGUGGAAACAACAUGCGACCCCCCACAGAAGCUGAGCAGAUGCUGGUGGACUUCUAAGCCUCCAGAACCAGGAGCCAAAAAUAAACCUAUUUUCUUUUGGAAUCACUCAGUCUCAAGUACACUGUUAUAGCAACAGAAAAUGGACUAAGACAGUGACUUGGUUCCAAGAUACCUGAUCAGCCAUGAAGAGAACAGAAGUCCUUGUUGAGAAGGCCAAGACAAUGUGAGUGAAUGAACAUGGAGACAUUGUGGAGACGGAAUUAAGAGAGUUAAAUGGU